UACGUAGGCAGCGAGCGUUGUUCGGAAUUACUGGGCGUAAAGAGUGUGUAGGCGGUGCUCUAAGUUCGGUGUGAAAUCUCCUGGCUCAACUGGGAGGGUGCGCCGGAAACUGGAGUGCUUGAGCGUGGGAGAGGAAAGCGGAAUUCCUGGUGUAGCGGUGAAAUGCGUAGAUAUCAGGAGGAACACCUGUGGUGUAGACGGCUUUCUGGAGCAUAGCUGACGCUGAGACACGAAAGCGUGGGUAGCAAACAGG
rnacentral:rRNA from 1 species